UAUGUUCAUAGAGGUCUAGGUGUUCAUGGAGGUCUAGAUGUUCAUGGAGGUCUAGGUGUUCAUGGAGGUCUAGGUGUUCAUAGAGGUCUCGGUGUUCAUAGAGGUCUAGGUGUUCAUAGAGGUCUAGAUGUUCAUGGAGGUCUAGGUGUUCAUAGAGGUCUAGGUGUUCAUAGAGGUCUAGAUGUUCAUAGACGUAAAUAUGUUCAUAGACGUAAAUAUGUUCAUAGAGGUCUAGGUGUUCAUAGAGGUCUAGGUGUUCAUAGAGGUCUAGAUGUUCAUCGAGGUCUAGGUGUUCAUAGAGGUCUAGGUGUUCAUAGAGGUCUUGAUGUUCAUAAAGGUCUAGAUGUUCAUAGAGGUCUGGGUGUUCAUAGAGGUCUAGGUGUUCAUAGAGGUCUAGGUGUUCAUAGAGGUCUAGGUCUUCAUAGAGGUCUAGAUGUUCAUAGAGGUCUAGGUCUUCAUAGAGGUCUAGAUCUUGGUGGUAGAUGUUCAGAGCUACUUCAUGUUGAUUCAUGAGGACAUUUAACAACAUCUGAGGCUGAUUUUACUGAAUGUUCUCAUGUAGCUCGAUCUCUUUUUUUGAGGGUGACAAUAGAAAACCUCCGUCUUCCUCCCAGCCCUCCACAGAAACACCCACCCACUCCCAUUAAGGAGCGAGCAUCAAGAGGAAGAUCUGCUUGUCAGAACUGUCACAGCGUUUCCGAGCUGGAAUGUUGUUUCUACAUCGACACAGAGCCAAAAAAGGAGAAGCUUUUUAUUCCACAGGAAGAGUUAAACGGAGGCUGUCCUGUUCUUAAUGAGCGGGAAAUGGAGAAAUCAGCAUUUAGCUAAGUACGAAGUCACAGAAAGAACAAGUCCUUGAAUUAAGUCAAGACCAGAAGGAUGCCAACUUGCCUCCUUAGCAAUUUGAAUAAAUUGAUUCCACCCCAUAAUUACAAUUAGCACAGUGUGAGCUGAUGAUUGAAAUUGUGCUCACCAGGAGUGGGUAAAUGAUGGGUAAUGGGGGUAAUUUGGUUUUUAAAUUCAAGAACUGACACUUGAAUCUCGACUGAUUGAUGUAUGCAUCGUGAGUGAUUUAAGGCGGUCGGCAGCAAACGGUUUUAUUAGGAUGCGAGGUGAAGACGAGGCUGGAACAUUUCUGAGCUUUCUCUCUGGAGGACGGAAAACAAACUGAACGUUUUCUAUCAGCUGUUAUAGCAGGAAAAUGCUGCUGUUCUAUUCCCAGAUGUCCCAGACAGCCCUGAUGGUGAACCAUACCAUUUUUCCGCCUGGACUCACCGUUUCUCGCCCUUGUACCACUCGAAUGUUGGCCAAGGAACGGCGGCAGCUUCACACCUGAGCAGAGCCGUGCGACCCAGACCGACUCCAUGG